AUUGAACGCUGGCGGCAUGCUUUACACAUGCAAGUCGAACGGUAGAGGGGCAACCCUUGAGAGUGGCGAACGGGUGAGUAAUGCAUCGGAACGUGCCCAGUAGUGGGGGAUAGCCCGGCGAAAGCCGGAUUAAUACCGCAUGAGACCUGAGGGUGAAAGCGGGGGACUCGAAAGGGCCUCGCGCUAUUGGAGCGGCCGACGUCAGAUUAGCUAGUUGGUGGGGUAAAGGCCUACCAAGGCGACGAUCUGUAGCUGGUCUGAGAGGACGACCAGCCACACUGGGACUGAGACACGGCCCAGACUCCUACGGGAGGCAGCAGUGGGGAAUUUUGGACAAUGGGCGCAAGCCUGAUCCAGCCAUGCCGCGUGCGGGAAGAAGGCCUUCGGGUUGUAAACCGCUUUUGUCAGGGAAGAAAUCUUCUGGGUUAAUACCCUGGGAGGAUGACGGUACCUGAAGAAUAAGCACCGGCUAACUACGUGCCAGCAGCCGCCGCAGUAA
rnacentral:rRNA from 1 species